AUAGAGUUGUAUGCAGGAUAUAGUACUAGCGUUGGAAUUUCAGGGCAUCCAAAAAGAACUUAGUAUGCUUCAACCCAUGUUUUCUACCAUUGCUUACCUUUAUUUGAAAAAUUGUUGUUGCUAUGUAUGCAAGAUACAAUACUAGAGUUGGAAUAUCAGGGCAUCCAAAAAGAAUUUACUAUGCUUCAGGUAAGAAAGUUAAUUUGUUUGACUUUUGUAGGGACUAAAUUACUAGCUUAAUGCAUGGAACUUAUUGAGCUGCAGUCAUGGCAUGUGCUUACAUAGAGACCUUCGUUCUGUGGAUAUACCUCUUCUUAUAGGACAGCAUGUGCGUGAUGCAUUGCUCCCCUUAGUUUUCGGAGGAACAUGGUGCUAUUCCUGGUGCUUUUGGUUAUGAAAAAACUGACAUUAGUCAGGAACUUUCUAAGGUGAUCACUUUACUGCUCUGUUCUCAUCGUACCAUUUCUACACAGUUUACUGAGUUUAAAAAUCCAUGCAAUACUCUAAUUCUGAAGCUUUGGUUUAUGUGAGAUGUGGCUGAAAGAAGAAAUGAGAUAGCCGAGAUUCUAAUGGAUUUUCCCCAAUCGACAAUGAUAUUUCAUGACAUGAUGUGAAAAGUGGAGCCGCUUAAAGUACAUGGCGAGCUCACCAUGGCCGCCUUUCUUCCAACAGAUUGGGAACCGCCGACCGCGACCCAUGGUGUGUAGAUGAUACACCGGUGAGGCGUUCCAAGGACGAAGAGGAUCUCACGAUUUUCGGGGAUGAGGAGGAUCUUGCGAUUUCCAGAUUUCAAGUGUCUACACACUAUAUGUAGUAAGUUUUUUAGAGAAGUAGUCAAAUUAAAUCUGGAUACCAAUUUAUUGGAACAUUAUAUUUCUUACAGAAGUAGUCAAACAAUGAUAUCAAUUUGUUGGAACCAUCAAGGAGGUGACACUCCUGGAGGGUAUAUAUUCUCCAUCUUAUGCCUAUUUGAAAUACGGUUAUAGGUCUGUACUUUGCCACUCAUAUUGUAGUACUCAACUUUAGCAAUGAUGGAGCAGGAAAGUGUGCUGAACCUUCUAA